AGAGUUUGAUCCUGGCUCAGAAUGAACGCUGGCGGCAGGCCUAACACAUGCAAGUCGAACGGGCAUCUUCGGAUGUUAGUGGCGGACGGGUGAGUAACGCGUGGGAACAUACCCUUUGGUUCAGAAUAGCCCCGGGAAACUGGGAGUAAUACUGGAUGUGCUCGCAAGAGGAAAGAUUUAUCGCCAAAGGAUUGGCCCGCGUUGGAUUAGGUAGUUGGUGGGGUAAUGGCCUACCAAGCCGACGAUCCAUAGCUGGUUUGAGAGGAUGAUCAGCCACACUGGGACUGAGACACGGCCCAGACUCCUACGGGAGGCAGCAGUGGGGAAUCUUAGACAAUGGGGGAAACCCUGAUCUAGCCAUGCCGCGUGAUCGAUGAAGGCCUUAGGGUUGUAAAGAUCUUUCAGUUGGGAAGAUAAUGACGGUACCAACAAAAGAAGCCCCGGCUAACUCCGUGCCAGCAGCCGCGGUAAUACGGAGGGGGCUAGCGUUAUUCGGAAUUACUGGGCGUAAAGCGCACGUAGGCGGACUGGAAAGUCAGAGGUGAAAGCCCAGGGCUCAACCUUGGAACUGCCUUUGAAACUCCCAGUCUUGAGGUCGAGAGAGGUAAGUGGAAUUCCGAGUGUAGAGGUGAAAUUCGUAGAUAUUCGGAGGAACACCAGUGGGCGAAGGCGGCUUACUGGCUCGAUACUGACGCU
rnacentral:rRNA from 1 species